rnacentral:rRNA from 1 species
UACGGAGGAUGCAAGCGUUAUCCGGAAUGAUUGGGCGUAAAGCGUCCGCAGGUGGCAAUGUAAGUCAGCUGUUAAAGCGUGGAGCUUAACUCCAUAAAGGCAGUUGAAACUGUGAGGCUAGAGUGCGGUAGGGGUAAGGGGAAUUCCCAGUGUAGCGGUGAAAUGCGUAGAUAUUGGGAAGAACACCGGUGGCGAAAGCGCCUUGCUGGACCUGCACUGACACUGAGGGACGAAAGCUAGGGGAGCGAAAGGG